rnacentral:lncRNA from 1 species
GAAUUAAUUAAGGUGAUGAAGAAUGCUGAUGGUAUGAGAAGGCAUGGCUUCUGGCUCAGCUUGGUAUCACCGAAAGGCUCAAGGCUUCGUGUGCUUUUCAGUUAAGAAACUCCUGCUCUACACUGAGCUGGGCUGCAGUGUCUGUGUGAUGGGUGAUGCAGCUGUUUGGCAUGGGGAGCCCUGGCAGUGACUGGCUGAAACAGCUGCAUAGCUGCUUGUAGUGCUGUGCUCAAGGCUUUUAUUGCUUUUCUGCCCCAGCCUUCACCCAGAAGAUAACCUGUGUCUUCAGUAAGAGUCAGAACGUUCACUUACAUAUAACUUUCAUUAUACAUUUUGAACAGUUUAUUUCAUUUUUGUUAAGACAUUUCAAAGAGUAUCAGGAAACAGAAUCAAAUCUAUUCAUCUAUAUUUAGGAAAGGCUAUUCAGACUUUAGGUCUGAAGAAAGUCUGGCCCCUCCCAAAUCAAAACAAGUAUCUGAAGGGAAGGAAAUGCAGUCUAUGUAGAAGGAAAUACUGCUAAUUUUUUUAGUCAUCCCGGAACAAAAUGAGAUCAGAGCUUUAGUAUUGUUAUUGUUGAUCUGCUUUCAGUUUAAAUUUCUUCAGUUUGACAUUUAUGUUCUUACACUUCAAUUUUUUUAACUCUACCUUAACUAACAAUGAGUGCAAAAGACUAAUAUAAAGCUGAUCAAUUGUGACUUGUAGAACUGUUUUAUGUGGGUUGACUCUCAAUCUUAGCAUAGCAAGUGAGUCUCAGGCUAAUGACAUGUCAUGUGACAUGUGCCAUGAUUAAUUUUCUUUCAAUGUUUCUGGGUAAGACGCAUUUAUCAAGCUAUAGCUCAACUGUGUAUUAUUAACGUUUUCUUGUGGGCCAAAUGUCAUCCACCUAUGUCAAGUUGUGAAUCAUGGAUCAUGAUCCACAUUUCCAUUUAAAGCAGCUUGAUAAAGAAAAAAGCUGCAAGACAAUAUAAGCAGCUGAUGCUACCUGAAAUAGUGUUACGUGGAGGGGGUGGUGUACUGACUCUCCUUAAUUCUAAUACGUUUCUUCCUUUGUAUGUGGUUAGAGUCCAUUGAUCUGUUUCUCUUUUAAUUAACAUCUGAAUUCUUCUACAGGUGCAGGAUUUGUUUUGAUGUACUCCCUU